UUAAUCCUCGCACGUUGUUCCCAAUACCUCUCAUCAUUUUCAAUCUCAAAAUUAAGAUCCACCUUUGUAUCAAUUAGUUCUGCUAGAUUUUCAUCGCUUCUAUCUUCUUCUAGCAAUUUUUUCAUCUUUAAAUGCAACAUCUCUUUCUUUGCUUUCCUACUAUAUCGAAUUUUAGCCUCCCAUUUCUGCAACCCUCUUCUAACACACUGCAACUUGUUUAAUAAGUCUCCUAAAG
rnacentral:lncRNA from 1 species